rnacentral:rRNA from 1 species
CCUACGGGUGGCAGCAGUGGGGAAUAUUGCACAAUGGGGGAAACCCUGAUGCAGCGACGCCGCGUGAGUGAAGAAGUAAUUCGUUACGUAAAGCUCUAUCAGCAGGGAAGAAAUACUGACCUUACGGUCAGCAGACGGUACCUGAGUAAGAAGCCCCGGCUAACUACGUCCCAGCAGCCGCGGUAAUACGUAGGGGGCAAGCGUUAUCCGGAUUUACUGGGUGUAAAGGGAGCGUAGGCGGUGCGCCAAGUCUGGAGUGAAAUGCCGCGGCUUAACUGCGGAACUGCGUUGGAAACUGGCGAACUAGAGUGCGGGAGGGGUAAGCGGAAUUCGUGGUGUAGCGGUGAAAUGCGUAGAUAUUAGGAAGAACACCGGUGGCGAAGGCGGCUUACUGGACCAUAACUGACGUUGAGGCUCGAAAGCGUGGGGAGCAAACAGGAUUAGAUACCCGAGUAGUC